UUAGUUCAGUUUUCUAAAGCAUGACAUUGUUCAAAGCUGAUAUUUGAUAGUUUUAAACACACUUUUAUUCUUAUUUUGCUAACUACUUUAAACUACAUUGGUUAUGAGUUAUUGGGUUUAAUUAAUAAAUCAAUUAGCAUAAUUGUUGAUGAUUAUGAUCUUUAGAAAAUGGAAUCUUAUGAUUGACAGUUUUGAUGAAUCUUGUGAUAUUUUCCCACCAGCUUAACAUUGUUUCUAGCUUAUUUUUCUUAAAUCUCUCAUUCUCUCUUUGUUUUCAUAAAUGUGUUUAUUUAUUUAUUUUGUGUAAAAUAUUUGUGUCUACAAAGUUGGCUAUAACUAUUUUCUUCUUAAUGUUUUUAUAUUAUCAUUGCAAUUUUAGAAAAUUAAGGAGAAACUUUUUGAAUUUUGCACGCAAGGUAUAUAUAUAAUUAAUAUGGAUUUUAAGUGUACUAUAUAUGUUGCUCUUUGGUUGUGCUCAUUAUGUAUAAUAUGAUGAAUUUAGAUUAUUUGCUAUAUGGGCUCUCUCUAUAAGAUAAUAGAUGAUGCCUUGUAAGUGUUUGUGAAAAUGAUGCAAAGAAGCUAUAGAUAAUGAUGUAAAGAAAAGUGUCAGUAUUUGAUCAAUCUUUUUGUAAUGUGGCUAUUUUGAUAAUCAUUAUUGCUUCCUUUGUUUCAUUAUUGUGUCAGAAUAGACUUGAACUGAUUAAUUUGUUUGAUUUUACUGAAAUUUUGAUAAUACAAUAUAUUAUUGUCUAUGUUAUAUUUGUUUUUCUUGAUUUUUCAUUUUAUUUUUUUGAUUGGUUCUAUGACAGGGGCUCGUGGGUCUUGUGAAAACGACAGGCUCAGGGUCAUGUGUGGCUCGUUCUCGCGGAAGGUUUGGGUGGCUCGGUCUCGCAGAGAGGUCGUAGGUGGCUCGGUCUCGCAAAGGGGUUCGAGCCCCCUCUUCUUUCUUCUUGAAAUUUUGGCCAUAUCUGUAUUCGGUACAGAGUUCUGAACCACAAUAGAACUACUAUUAACUAGAACAUUCAUGUUCUUGGUUUUUGUUUCUCAGGCAAGUAAAAAAGCCUUGGAUCUAGUUGCUCCAGUUUAUAAGUACUGCCUUGUAUCAGUAUCUAACAUAUUAACUUCAACAUGCCAAAAUGAGGCCUUCAAAUAUGUAAGUUUUCCUGUUCAGAUACAUGUUAUGGU